rnacentral:rRNA from 1 species
GGAGGAAAAGAAACCAACAGGGAUUCCCUUAGUAACGGCGAGCGAACAGGGAAGAGUCCAGCGCCGAAUUUCACGUUCCUUACGGACGUUUGAAAAAUGUGGCGUUUAGGAGGUCACGUGCCGAGGUUGGACUCUGCAGCAAGUCCCCCUGACCGGGGCUGUUAUCCAGAGUGGGUGCGAGGCCCAUAGCUGCUAUGUCUGCUUUGGAUGUGACCUCUUGGGAGUCAGGUUGCUUGGGAGUGCAACCCUAAUUGGGUGGUAAACUCCACCUAAGACUAAAUACGGCCGUGAGACCGAUAGCAAACAAGUACCGUGAGGGAAAGUUGCAAAGAACUUUGAAGAGAGAGUUCAAGAGUACGUGAAACUGCUCAGAGGCAAACAGAUGGGCCCUCGAAAUCCUUUGGUAGGAGGAUUCAGUUAGGAAAGGCCAAGGCAAUGUGCGGUUUCAUAAACGGACCCUCAGUGGGGACGGAUCGCUGUUGUGGUCUUGGCUUGACCUGACGCAUUUCUUCCUACACAAGGACGCCGCAUCCGGUUGGGUAACUGUUUGAGUCGGCCAUAAGGGCAAGCAAGGAAGGUGGCUGGUGGUGUUGCCUACGCUUCUCUGCCAGUUGUUAGCCAGUUUGCCCAUGGCAUGACACCCGACCGAGGUUAAUUCGUUCCCACAUGGGGAACUAGCCGCCCUCUUCCAUCAAGAAGUGGAUGCUUCGACAAGUGUUUCACGUAGUGGUGUUUUCACUCUUUGUAGUGUGCAUCACUACGUGUUCCCUGGUGGUUGAAAGCUACCCACGGAGGUGCAUAUGGCUAGCGGCGAGUGAGUCGGUCACCCACCUGACCCGUCUUGAAACACGGACCAAGGAGUCUAACAUGUGCGCGAGUCAUGGGGUCUUGAAUAGGCCCAGAGGCGCAAUGAAAGUGAAAGUCGAUCUCGUGUCGACUAUGUUGGGAUCUCUCGUCCUUAGUGGCGGGGAAGCACCAACAAUCCGUCCUAUCUGAUUUAUCAGUUGGCCGGAAUUUGAGCGUACACGUUGGGACCCGAAAGAUGGUGAACUAUGCCUGGGCAGGACGAAGCCAGAGGAAACUCUGGUGGAGGUCCGUAGCGGUUCUGACGUGCAAAUCGAUCGUCAGACCUAGGUAUAGGAGCGAAAGACCAAUCGAACUAUCUAGUAGCUGGUUCCCUCCGAAGUUUCCCACAGGAUAGCUGGCGCUCGGAGGAAUCAGUCUCAUCCGAUAAAGCGAAUGAUUAGAGGCCUUGGGGCCGAAACGACCUCAACCUAUUCUCAAACUUUAAAUGGGUGAGAAGUCCGGCUUGCAUGACUGAAGUCUGGACGUUUCGGAUGUGAGUGCCCAGUGGGCCACUUUUGGUAAGCAGAACUGGCGCUGUGGGAUGAACCAAACGCCGAGUUACGGCGCCCGAUGCGAGACGCUCAUGAGACCCCAUAAAAGGUGUUGGUUGCUAUAGACAGCAGGACGGUGUCCAUGGAAGUCGGUAUCCGCUAAGGAGUGUGUAACAACUCACCUGCCGAAGCAACUAGCCCUGAAAAUGGAUGGCGCUCCAGCGUCGAGCCCAUACUCGGCCGCUGCGGCAGAGCUUUUCGAAGUUUAUGCCACAGUGAGUAGGAGGGUCGCAGCGGCGAGCGUAGAAGGUGCCGGGCGUGAGCCCGCCUGAAGCCGCCGCUGGUGCAGAUCUUGGUGGUAGUAGCAAAUACUCAAGUGAGAACCUUGAGGACUGAGGUGGAGAAGGGUUCCAUGUGAACAGCAGUUGAACAUGGGUCAGUCGGUCCUAAGGGAUAGGAGAAAUCCGUUCCGAAGCGGGACGUUGUGUAUGAAUGUGCGCUUGUCCCGCUGGUGACCGAAAGGGAAUCGGGUCAAUAUUCCCGAACCCGGAUACGGAGAUCGAGCCCUUGGGCUCAAGUGCGGUAACGCAACCGAACUCGGAGAUGUCGACGGGAGUCCCGGGAAGAGUUGUCUUUUCUUUGUAAGGGUUCGGGUCCCUGGAAUCGGCUCGUCCGGAGAUAGGGAUGCUGUUCCCGUAAAGCACCGCGGCUCUUGCGGUGUCUGGAGCGCUCCUGUCGGCCCUUGAAAAUCCGAGGAAGGAAGUGUGAUUUUCGUGCCGGUCCGUACCCAUAUCCGCAGCAGGUCUCCAAGGUGAACAGCCUCUAGUCGAUA